GAAAAAAUCUUGAUGAGGAGGAGUAUAUAUAUAUUCCAAAGUUUAGAGAGGGAAGGCUGGUGAAAAUUCCCCUUAGGAAAUAUAUAGAAGGUAGCCUCGGAGUUGUUAAAUGAAAUCAAUAUAUAAUAAAAAUAUAUUGAAAGUAGAGUUAACCGUAGUUCCACCGUUAAAUGGAAAAUAGCAUUUAUUUUAUUUGUGCUAUGUUUGAGUGUGUAUUUCUAUACGAAUCUAGGUGGUACCGCGGAGUUAACCCUUCGUCCUUGUU
rnacentral:ncRNA from 1 species